UACGGAGGAUCCAAGCGUUAUCCGGAUUCAUUGGGUUUAAAGGGUGCGUAGGCGGAAUGAUAAGUCAGUGGUGAAAUCCUGCAGCUUAACUGCAGAACUGCCAUUGAUACUGUCAAUCUUGAGUAUAUUUGAUGUGGGCGGAAUGUGUCAUGUAGCGGUGAAAUGCUUAGAUAUGACACAGAACACCGAUUGCGAAGGCAGCUCACAAAACUAUAACUGACGCUGAGGCACGAAAGCGUGGUAG
rnacentral:rRNA from 1 species